UUAUUUGAGAGUUUGAUCCUGGCUCAGGAUGAACGCUGGCGGCGUGCCUAACACAUGCAAGUCGAGCGGUCUAGUGCUCAACUGAACUUCGUUCAGUUGAGGUUGAAGGAGAAAUG
rnacentral:ncRNA from 1 species